AACGCACCUUGCGCUCCUUGGUACUCCGAGGAGCAUGCCUGUUUGAGUGUCAUGAAAUUCUCAACUGCCUUUUUAGCAUUUAUGUUAAUGGUGAAGUUGGAGUUGGAGGAUAAUUGCUGGCGCAACUUAGGUUGCUUGUUGGCUCCUCUUGAAUAGAUGAGCUUUUCUGAUGGAUUAUGGCUCAGUAACAUUAAUGUGAUAAUUAUCUACGUUAGAUGUGAAAGCUGUGAGUAGAGUGACUCUAAUUAUGGAGAAGCUCCUACAGAAAAGGAUGUGUCUUGGGGAUAAUAAACUCUUGACUUGAAAUAUAAUGACAAAUCUGACCUCAAAUCAGGUAGGACUACCCGCUGAACUUAA
rnacentral:misc_RNA from 1 species